ACAACUUGGUUAUCAUUACCAUUACAAGAAACAGAAACAGGAUUACAAGGAUUAGAAAAACAAGUAACAGAGGGAGAAGGGGAAGAAGGAGACCAAGCUAGUUUAUACAGCCCAGCAGUUUGUCUACCAAGAUCCAGUGGCCUCCUCAGAGAAGGGUCCUGUAUCAUGUGUAGAAAACAGGAGUAUUCAGUGAACAUAACAAUACAGUGUAACUGCUUCACUAACUUG
rnacentral:lncRNA from 1 species